rnacentral:rRNA from 1 species
GAUGAACGCUGGCGGCGUGCUUAACACAUGCAAGUCGAACGGAAAGGCCCAACCUUGCUUGGGUACUCGAGUGGCGAACGGGUGAGUAACACGUGGGUGAUCUGCCCUGCACUUCGGGAUAAGCCUGGGAAACUGGGUCUAAUACCGGAUAGGACGAUGGUUUGGAUGCCAUUGUGGAAAGUUUUUUCGGUGUGGGGUAAGCUCGCGGCGUUUCAGCUUGUUUGUGGGGGAAUGGCCUACCCAGGGGUCGACGGGGAGCCGGCCGGUGAGGGGGUGAGGGCACAUUUUGGCUGAGAGACGGGCCAGAGACCUAUAGGGGGGAGCAGUGGGGAAUAUUGCGCAAUGGGGGCAAGCGUGAUGCAGCGACGCCGCGUGGGGGGUGACGGCGUUCGGGGUUUAUACUCCGUUCGCUAGUGAGGAAGCGUGUUUGUGACGGUACCUGGAGAAGAAGCACCGGCUAACUACGUG